ACUCGAAUGGUCUUCUGGAACAGAUUACGUUCGAAAACCGAGGUCGCCUCGGGACUCACAUGGAAGGCGAUGCGUAAAUGAAUAAGUAAUAAAAUAAUAAAGAGGCUGGCAGAACAUUGCUGGACAGUCCAGACAAGAAUCAGGAGAGCUGGCGCUGCUGAAAGGAAAGGAGGAAACAGCCAAGUCGAAUGGGAGUUGCUGAGGCAGGCAAAGCAUUUAGCAGGGCUGAAAGUCAGGUUCCCUUGGGAUCCUGCUUUCUUGGAGGCCGCUCUUGUGUGCUUUGGAUCUUCCUCAUAAGAGAUGGCUGCUCCUGCGGUUUUCCUGACUGGGAUACAGCUGACGAAAGACACAGGUGAGGAAAAUAAAUGAAUGGAACUAACCAAAUAAAUGGGAAGCAAAUUGGCUGGGGCCUUACCUUUGGAAACAGCAACGGUGGCCACACCUAAAGACCCUUCCUCUCCUGUUUUUGAAGACUUGGGCUUUGGAUAUGCUGUGCUUAGAGGCACAGAAAUCUCAAGAGCCGAAGGAACAGCCCAGGCUUAUUAUUUUCCCACACCUCUUAUAGGUAAAGAAAUUAUAGCCAGUGAAAAACAACAACAAAAGCAGUUCCUGUGACACACCACAGACAGUGUGAUAUUUCUCCCUCUUCAGGGUGACUCCGCCAAUUGCCACUUACAGCAAUAGAUGGAUUGCUCAUAAGAUCUGCACCAAAGUUUUGCAGUAUAUUUCCACCUGCUGAGUGGAGUGGUCCAGUUCUGCAGAACAGUAGAGCUGACCCUGCAGGAGGUGGUGCGGUGAGUCAGUGCAUCUGGCUGUUAACCAGAAGGUUGGUGGUUCAAGCCCGCCCAGGGGCGGCUGGGGGCAGGACUCUGUCCUGCAUUGCAGGGGGUUAGACUAUAUGGCCCUUGGGAUCCCUUCCAACCCUAUGAUUCUAUGAUUUCUACGACUUCUACUGUCUGACAUUUCAGUUGGUCCUAAUGAAGAUAUUAGUUUGACAUUACUUUUUUGUAUCUCAAGCAAAGUCUUACAAUGGGAGUGUAACUUCUGAACUGCUGGUAGAGCCCACCAGAUCUUGGGAGCUUUAGACCACUUUGGACCACUUCUUUUAAUGGAUGGAUUCACAAAUCUACUUGUGGAGCCCAUUUAUUACUCAAAUUUAGUAGCACAUAUCUGCAUGACAUCACAAUAGCAAAUCUUUUAAUUGCUGGAAGUGCAGCAGCAGGGAUCAUUCAGUUUGUAACUUAAGAGUUAAUUCUAUUAAUGUUUAGCUAACUAGCCAAGAGGGGGAUGUGUGGAGAUGUGGCUUAGCAACAAGAUAGAAUGGCAUAAUGUUUGCUGAGGUAGCACAUGCUCUGAUUGGCUAUAUAGUUCUGAGGGAGCUUUUCCUCAGUAUGUUUGGUUGACUAUCUCCCUGCUAUGUACAAGGCCUGAAGUAAGAAAGACAAACUUCUCUGUUUAGUUCUUCUCUAAUUAUAUACUUUUUUUUGGUUCAAUUUUCUGAGUAAAGUGUUAUCAGGAUUUCUUUUCUCUCUGGACUCCAUAUGCAUUAUUGACUUUGCUAAGAUUAAGUUCUUGCACAACUCCUUUUUAUUUCAAUAGAGCUUGCACCAGAAACUUCUGGAUGAAUUGUGCCUCCCUACCUGACUGCCUCACACUUCUUGCUCAUUGCCUCACAAACAUGAGGAGAUGAUCCUUCUUUCUUAAUGCAAAGCACAUGUACCUAUUUUUAUCUGAGCAGCAUUGGAGGCCAUUCCAUUGGGUACAGAUAUUCAUGUUUAGUUAAUCCUUUCCUACUCUUGAAAAUCUGGGCCUUCUUGCAGAGGAGCCAAAAAGAAAUGGAGUGGGUGAGGAAGGAGCCUUUAUUGCAGUAUGAUAAACAGAUGCAUCUCAGGGCAUAACUACGCAUGAUGUUAAUUAUGUGAUUAGCGAUCACACCAUGUGUUUUAAAAAAUUAAAUACCAGGCAUUGCUGGGAGAUGUUAUCAAGAAAGCAGCUUGCAUGGAGGAAAGGUUUAUGAUGCCCCUCCCCAGUUGCAAUGUCCAUGGAAUCUACUCUUUCUGCAGUGCAGAAAACAGCAUCUGGGGCAGCACUGACACAAAUGGGAGCUUUGUUUCAAAAUGAUAAUUGCUGCACGUUGAGAGGGGUGACUUUGAUGGA